CCGCAUUAUACCUGAUUUUGUUGC
rnacentral:siRNA from 1 species